rnacentral:rRNA from 1 species
GACGAACGCUGGCGGCGUGCUUAACACAUGCAAGUCGAACGGAAAGGCCCUGCUUUUGUGGGGUGCUCGAGUGGCGAACGGGUGAGUAACACGUGAGUAACCUGCCCUUGACUUUGGGAUAACUUCAGGAAACUGGGGCUAAUACCGGAUAGGAGCUCCUGCUGCAUGGUGGGGGUUGGAAAGUUUCGGCGGUUGGGGAUGGACUCGCGGCUUAUCAGCUUGUUGGUGGGGUAGUGGCUUACCAAGGCUUUGACGGGUAGCCGGCCUGAGAGGGUGACCGGGUGGAGAGGGAGUGAGACAGGGCGGAGACGCGUACGGGAAGCAGCAGGGGGGAAUAUGGGACAAGGGGGGAAAGACUGAUUGGGCCAUGGCGGGUGAGUGAGGAAGGGGUGAGGGUGGUAAAGCUAGUGGAAACGGGAUGAGAAUGAUAGGAGCGGGAGAAGAGGAGCCGGGUAAGUUCGUG